GACAGAGGGUGCAAACGUUGUUCGGAAUUACUGGGCGUAAAGCGCGUGUAGGCGGCUUGGUAAGUCGGGUGUGAAAGCCCUGGGCUCAACCCAGGAAGUGCACUCGAAACUGCCGAGCUGGAGUCCCGGAGAGGAAGGCGGAAUUCUCGGUGUAGAGGUGAAAUUCGUAGAUAUCGAGAGGAACACCGGUGGCGAAGGCGGCCUUCUGGACGGCGACUGACGCUGAGACGCGAAAGCGUGGGGAGCAAACAGGAUUAGAUACCCCCGUAGUCC
rnacentral:rRNA from 1 species